rnacentral:rRNA from 1 species
UGCCUACGGGUGGCUGCAGUAAGGGAUAUUGCGACAAUGGGCGAAAGCCUGACGCAGCAACGCCGCGUGCGGGAUGACGGCCUUCGGGUUGUAAACCGCUUUUCAGGGGGAAGAGGAAGGACGGUACCCCUGGAAUAAGUCUCGGCUAACUACGUGCCAGCAGCCGCGGUAAAACGUAGGAGGCGAGCGUUAUCCGGAUUUACUGGGUGUAAAGCGCGUGCAGGCGGUCUGGGAAGUGGUGCGUGAAAGCGCCCGGCUCAACCGGGCGAGGCCGUGCCAAACUGCCAGGCUUGAGGUAGGUAGAGGCGUGUGGAAUUCCGGGUGUAGUGGUGAAAUGCGUAGAGGUCCGGAGGAACACCAGUGGCGAAGGCGACACGCUGGGCCUGACCUGACGCUCAGACGCGAAAGCAUGGGGAGCGAACGGGAUUAGAUACCCCAGUAGUCC